AUUGAUUUUAUGCUUGCAUAAAUGAUUUUUGGAUUCGGAGCGAGUGGCGAACUGGUGAGUAACACGUGGGUAACCUGCCCCGAAGCGGGGGAUAACAUUUGGAAACAAGUGCUAAUACCGCAUAAUUAGUUGGAACCGCAUGGUUCCAACUUGAAAGAUGGCUCUGCUAUCACUUUGGGAUGGACCCGCGCCGUAUUAGUUAGUUGGUGAGAUAAAAGCCCACCAAGACGAUGAUACGUAGCCGACCUGAGAGGGUAAUCGGCCACAUUGGGACUGAGACACGGCCCAGACUCCUACGGGAGGCAGCAGUAGGGAAUCUUCCACAAUGGACGAAAGUCUGAUGGAGCAACGCCGCGUGAGUGAUGAAGGUUUUCGGAUCGUAAAACUCUGUUGUUAAAGAAGAACAAGUGUUAGAGUAACUGUUAACACUUUGACGGUAUUUAACCAGAAAGCCACGGCUAACUACGUGCCAGCAGCCGCGGUAAUACGUAGGUGGCAAGCGUUGUCCGGAUUUAUUGGGCGUAAAGCGAGCGCAGGCGGUUUUGUAAGUCUGCUGUGAAAGCCCUCAGCUCAACUGAGGAAGUGCAGUGGAAACUACAAAACUUGAGUACAGAAGAGGAAAGUGGAACUCCAUGUGUAGCGGUGAAAUGCGUAGAUAUAUGGAAGAACACCAGUGGCGAAGGCGGCUUUCUGGUCUGUUACUGACGCUGAGGCUCGAAAGCAUGGGUAGCGAACAGGAUUAGAUACCCUGGUAGUCCAUGCCGUAAACGAUGAAUACUAGGUGUUGGAGGGUUUCCGCCCUUCAGUGCCGCAGCUAACGCAUUAAGCAUUCCGCCUGGGGAGUACGACCGCAAGGUUGGAACUCAAAGGAAUUGACGGGGGCCCGCACAAGUGGUGGAGCAUGUGGUUUAAUUCGAUGCUACGCGAAGAACCUUACCAGCUCUUGACAUCUUCUGCCAACCCAAGAGAUUGGGCGUUCCCUUCGGGGACAGAAUGACAGGUGGUGCAUGGUUGUCGUCAGCUCGUGUCGUGAGAUGUUGGGUUAAGUCCCGCAACGAGCGCAACCCUUAUUAUUAGUUGCCAGCAUUUAGUUGGGCACUCUAGUGAGACUGCCGGUGAUAAA
rnacentral:rRNA from 1 species